rnacentral:rRNA from 1 species
AGAACGAACGCUGGCGGCAUGCCUAAUACAUGCAAGUCGAACGAACACUUCGGUGUUAGUGGCGCACGGGUGCGUAACGCGUGGGAAUCUGCCCUUGGGUUCGGAAUAACAGUUGGAAACGACUGCUAAUACCGGAUGAUAUCGAAAGAUCAAAGAUUUAUCGCCCAGGGAUGAGCCCGCGUAGGAUUAGCUAGUUGGUGAGGUAAAGGCUCACCAAGGCAACGAUCCUUAGCUGGUCUGAGAGGAUGAUCAGCCACACUGGGACUG